rnacentral:rRNA from 1 species
GACCCUAAAAAGUCCCCCAAACACAAAAAUUUAGUCCUGAUUUUAAAAUCAAUUUUUUCUUAACCUACACAUGCAAGUCUCCCCACCCCCGUGAGUACACCCCACCUCCCACCCGGAACAACGAAAUUGGUAUUAGGCACUAUAACUAGCCCAAAACACCUAGCAACAGCCACACCCACAAGGGACACAGCAGUGAUUAACAUUAGUAAUAAGUGUCAACUUGACCUAGUCAAAGAAAUAUAGAGCCGGCAAAUACGGUGCCAGCCGCCGCGGUUACACCAUAGGCCCAAAUUGAUUUUUUUCGGCGUAAAGCGUGAUUAAAGCUAUUAAUAAACUAGAGUUAAACUUAAACUAAGUAGUAACAUACUUGUCUCAAAGAACUACAAAAACGAAAGUUACUCUACCGUGUCAACUUGAACCCACGAUAACUAAGACCUAACUAGGAUUAGAUACC